GACGAACGCUGGCGGCGUGCCUAAUACAUGCAAGUAGAACGCACGGUUUAUACCGUAGCUUGCUACACCAUAGACUGUGAGUUGCCAACGGGUGCGUAUCGCGUAGGUAACCUGCCUGGUAGCGGGGGAUAACUAUUGGCAACGAUAGCUAAUACCGCAUAAUAUUAAUUAUUCCAUGAUAAUUAAUUGAAAGUUGUAAUUUCACCACUACCCAAUGGACCUGCGUUGUAUUAGCUAGUAGGGGAGGUAACGGCUCACCUAGGCGAGGAGACAUAGCCGACCUGAGAGGGGGCGAGGCCAAGCUGGGAUGGGGACACGGCCCAGAACCCUGCGGGAGGCAGCAGUAGGGGAUUUUCGGGAAUGGAAGAAAGGCUGACCGAGCAACGCCGGGUGAGGGAAUAAGGUUGUCGGGUCGUAAAGCUCAGGUGUAAGAGAAGGACGGAAGGGAGAGUUAAAAGUGCACAUUGUGACGGUAGCUGACCAGAAAGCGACGGCUAACUACGUG
rnacentral:rRNA from 1 species